GUUCGGGUCCUGCGCAUCGGCGGAGCAUCGAACCUCGUCAGACCCGGAAGGGAGCAGCGAUAAGGCGCAUCGGCCGAGUGCGCAGUCAAGCCUGAACCCU
rnacentral:SRP_RNA from 1 species